UGAGGACUAUACCGGCAUGCAACGCGGUCAGGCGCGGUUUUUUACAUAUUAUCGAUUUCUCGCUCUGCGCCGUCAUUGUUCGGUCGGCUUUCGCUGUGUUUACACCUCGAGGUUUCAAGAGAUUCAGAAAAGAUUUAUCGAAAAAAUAUUGUAAAAUGGUGGAUUUUUGCACUAUGCAUGGAAACAAAGCUUCGUUUUUGGGUGGACACGAGCUUCUGUGUGUUACUGUGUGUCAAAACAGCCUUUAAUUUUGAUUCCGGAAGAAUUACCGUGUGAUGAACUUGAAUGUCGUGUGGUUGAUGUUUAUAGUUUUACGGAUAGUUCGAAGAAUAGUCCUUUGUCCAGCUGUGGUUAACGGGAUAAAAAUUGAUGAAAUUGUUCGCUGAUUGCGGUAGUCCUGCACUGGUACAAAUUCACUGUAGUUGUGUUUUUAAGGUGAGAU
rnacentral:lncRNA from 1 species